rnacentral:rRNA from 1 species
AGUUGGCGGGGUAAAAGCCCACCAAGCCAAUGAUCCGUAAGGGCCUUUAGCGAGGAAGCCCUGAGAGGGAGUCUGAGACACUACUCCCAGCCCUACGGGGUGCAGCAGUCGGGAAACUUCUGCAAUGCGCGCAAGCGUGACAGAGCAAGCCAAAGUGCUUUUCUAUAUUUGAAAAGCUUUUGUGAUAUGUAAAAAAUUUUACGAAUAAGGACCGGGCAAGACUGGUGCCAGCCGCCGCGGUAAUCCCAGCGGUCCAAGUCGCAGCCACAAUUAUUGGGUCUAAAACAUCCGUAGCUUGCUUAGUAAGUCCUUUGUGAAAUCUGGCUCCUUAAGAGUCGGGCGAGCAAAAGAUACUGCUUUGCUAGAGAUCGGUAGACGUAAAGAGUACGAAUAGAGUAACGGUAAAUGUGUUGAUCCUAU